rnacentral:tRNA from 1 species
GUCAGAAUAGUUUAAAGGGUUAAAACCUAUAUCUCAUACGUAUAAAAAGGAAGUUCGAAUCUUUCUUCUGACU